AUGGGCCCAAAGUUUACGUGGACUAAUCGCCAAGAUGCAGACACCGUCAAGGUGCGUCUUGACCGGGUUGUUGGUAUUGGCGAGUUCUCACUGUUGUUUGAUGAUUAUGAGGUAACUAAUGUUAUCACCACGACAUCCGACCACUAUGCGGUUUACAUCCUGUUGAACAGCGUUGAUCGUAGUAGAGAUAAUACUCCAGUGCAACAGGGUUUUCACUUUGAGGCCAUGUGGUUGCGAGCGCCUGAUUAUCGAGAUGUGUUGGAAAAUGCAUGGCGUGAACAUAGCGAUGGGGUUUGCUCCCUCAUGUCAACUUGGUCCAACCUACAAUGAGUGGCGGGCUCGCUAAAGGAUUGGAGCAGGGUGACUUUUGGCUCUGUAAGGCGACAGAUUGCCAAGUUGGAACAGAAACUGCAUGCAUUGCAGCGUCAAGCAGUUUCCAUGGAAGUGAUCGCUAGUGAACGAGCUAUGGAGGCUGAACUUUGUGAACUUUUUGAAAGGGAAGAGAUAAUGGCUCGACAGCGAUCAAGAGUGGAUUGGCUCCGGGAGGGAGUCUGUAAUACUGAAUUCUUUCAUGCCAGCACGUCUGCAAGACGGCGUACUAAUAAAAUUAAGGUGCUGAUUAAAGAUGAUGGUACGCGUUGUAUGAAGAAUAUGGUUUAG
rnacentral:rRNA from 1 species